UACAGAGGCCUCAAGCGUUAGGCGGAAUUACUGGGCGUAAAGCGUGCGCAGGCGGUUUGUUAAGUCCGUUGUGAAAGCCCCGAGCUCAACUUGGGAAUUGCAGUGGAUACUGGCAGGCUGGAGUACGGUAGAGGAAGGUGGAAUUCCCGGUGUAGCAGUGAAAUGCGUAGAGAUCGGGAGGAACACCAGUGGCGAAGGCGGCCUUCUGGACCAGUACUGACGCUCAUGCACGAAAGCGUGGGGAGCAAACAGG
rnacentral:rRNA from 1 species